rnacentral:rRNA from 1 species
UUAUGGCUCAGGAUGAACGCUAGCGGCAGGCUAACACAUGCAAGGUCGAGGGGCAUCGCGGGGUAGCAAUACUCUGGCGGCGACCGGCGAAAGGGUGAGUAACGCGUGAGCAACAUGCCCGUAAGUGGAGGAUAGUCAUUGGAAACGAUGUGUAAUACUCCGUAACAACCGUUGUUGCAUGGACGAUGGUUUAAUAGAUUUAUCGCUUACGGAUUGGCUCGCGUGCCAUUAGCUAGUUGGUGGGGUAACGGCCCACCAAGGCGACGAUGGCUAGGGGUUCUGAGAGGAAGGUCCCCCACAUUGGAACUGAGACACGGUCCAGACUCCUACGGGAGGCAGCAGUGAGGAAUAUUGGUCAAUGGCCGAGAGGCUGAACCAGCCAUGCCGCGUGCGGGAGGACGGCCCUAUGGGUUGUAAACCGCUUUUGUCGGGGAGCAAUAAGGUCCACGUGUGGAUUGAUGAGAGUACCCGGCGAAUAAGCAUCGGCUAACUCCGUGCCAGCCGCGGC